rnacentral:rRNA from 1 species
UACGAAGGGGGCUAGCGUUGCUCGGAAUCACUGGGCGUAAAGCGCACGUAGGCUGAUCUUUAAGUCAGGGGUGAAAUCCUGGAGCUCAACUCCAGAACUGCCUUUGAUACUGAAGAUCUUGAGUUCGGGAGAGGUGAGUGGAACUGCGAGUGUAGAGGUGAAAUUCGUAGAUAUUCGCAAGAACACCAGUGGCGAAGGCGGCUCACUGGCCCGAUACUGACGCUGAGGCACGAAAGCGUGGGGAGCAAACAGGG